GUCCACGCCGUAAACGAUGGGUGCUAGGUGUCGCGGGCUUUGACCCCUGCGGUGCCGCAGCUAACGCAUUAAGCACCCCGCCUGGGAAGUACGGCCGCAAGGCUAAAACUCAAAGGAAUUGACGGGGCCCGCACAAGCGGUGGAGCAUGUGGUUUAAUUCGACGCAACGCGAAGAACCUUACCUGGGCUAGAAAACACAAGAACCUGGUUGAAAAAGUCGGGGUGCUCUUCGGAGAACUUGUGUUAGGUGCUGCAUGGCUGUCGU
rnacentral:rRNA from 1 species